GGGUUGUUCCAUCUUGCCACGUCUGACUACCACCUCUGACCCAGUAGCCUGUGUGCUGGGAGUGGAGCAGGAGGAGGGCCGACAACAAGACGAUGGAUCCCAGAGGAUGGUGUCGGAGAAGGCUGAGUUCAUAACUGAAAUUGUAUUGGAUUGUGAGGCUGCAGUGUCAAUAAAAUCAGAUAAAAGAGAGCCAUUUUUUUGCAGCUCAUCCAAGAGCCAUCGGAUAUCAGCUUUAAGCAAACAAAAGAGGAAAGAAGCAAAUCUGAGCUUACCACUGGCACAGUGAAAAGCCGUUCCAGUCCACGGAAACCACGGCCACACUUCCACAGCUGUACAGUAGAGUUACCAGAACCUGCGAAGAUGACACCAGCGUCAGAGACAGGAUGACCAGAUGCAAAAAGUUCAAACGCAGGACAAACGAAAAGACCAAGACAAUGAAGCCUAUCAACAUAACUGACAGAAAGACGAACUCACUCGUGGCCGUGGAACACCAGCUGAGAUUCUUCGGCUAUCUUCCAAACCCUCACAGUCCCAUCCCUGCCUCCUGCAGUCACACAGCACUGACGGCUCAGACUAUCCAGUCCAGUGAUCACAUCCUGAUGACCAAACCUAGAGGGAUUUACAGGAGAGAUGGUGUCACAAGCAACUGCAUAUACAAUAUGCAAUUACUGCCCUUUGUACUUCUACUCUGUG